rnacentral:rRNA from 1 species
CCCCGCGGGGAUAGCCUCAGUUAACGGGCGAAGUGAAGCGGCAAAAGCUCAAAUUUUGAAAUCCUAGCACUUUUCAGUUGUUUCGAGUUUGUAAUUUUGAAGAAGGUAACUUUGGUUUUUGGCUCUUGUCUAUGUUCCUUGGAACAGGACGUCACAGAGGGUGAGAAUCCCGUGCGAUGAGAUGCCCAAUUCCAUGUAAAGUGCUUUCGAAGAGUCGAGUUGUUUGGGAAUGCAGCUCUAAGUGGGUGGUAAAUUCCAUCUAAAGCUAAAUAUUGGCGAGAGACCGAUAGCGAACAAGUACAGUGAUGGAAAGAUGAAAAGAACUUUGAAAAGAGAGUGAAAAAGUACGUGAAAUUGUUGAAAGGGAAGGGCUUGAGAUCAGACUUGGUAUUUUGCGUUCCCUUCCUUUUUGGUUGGGUUCCUCGCAGUUUACUGGGCCAGCAUCGGUUUGGAUGGUAGGAUAAUGACAUUGGGAAUGUAGCUUUACUUCGCGUGAAGUGUUAUAGACUUUGUUGAUACUGCCUAUCUAGACCGAGGACUGCGUCUUUGACUACGAUGCUGGCCUCCUGAUCUUAUUCCUCCCCCCCUUAAAGGGGGUCCAAAAAAAAAAAUAUAAAAAAAGGGGGUAACACGGGGAGACAAGGCACCUGAGGUGGUGUGGGGGGCGCCAAUUUAA